UUGAGAUUUCUAGUUCUUGUACACCUGGC
rnacentral:piRNA from 1 species